rnacentral:rRNA from 1 species
CUUGACUGUAUCCUGGAAUUGGGUUCGGGCUUUUCUUGCGCAGCCUAGGUGGGAGGCUAUGAAGAUUUCCUUCCGGGGAAGUUGGAGCCAUCAGUGAGAGACCACUCUGGAGAGGCUAGAAUCCUAAUGGUGAUCCUUGAAUCAGGACACUUGACAGUUUCAGGUGGGCAGUUUUUCUGGGGCGGAAGCCUCAUAAAGGGUAACUGAGGCGCGCAAAGGUCCCCUCAGUCUGGACGGAAAUCAGACAACGAGUGUAAAGGCAAAAGGGGGCUUGACUGCAAGACCUACAAGUCGAGCAGGAGCGAAAGCUGGCCUUAGUGAUCCGACGGUACCGUGUGGAAGGGCCGUCGCUCAACGAAUAAAAGUUA